rnacentral:rRNA from 1 species
GAUGAACGCUGGCUACAGGCUUAACACAUGCAAGUCGAGGGUAAACGACGGGGAAGCUUGCUUCCCCGGGCGUCGACCGGCGCACGGGUGAGUAACGCGUAUCCAACCUGCCUCUGACUGAGGGAUAACCCGUCGAAAGUCGGCCUAAUACCUCAUGGCAUCGUCUGCGGGCAUCCAACGACGAUUAAAGAUUUCAUCGGUCAGGGAUGGGGAUGCGUCUGAUUAGCUUGUUGGCGGGGUAACGGCCCACCAAGGCUACGAUCAGUAGGGGUUCUGAGAGGAAGGUCCCCCACAUUGGAACUGAGACACGGUCCAAACUCCUACGGGAGGCAGCAGUGAGGAAUAUUGGUCAAUGGGCGGGAGCCUGAACCAGCCAAGUAGCGUGCAGGAUGACGGCCCUAUGGGUUGUAAACUGCUUUUAUGCGGGGAUAAAGUGAGGGACGUGUCCUUCAUUGCAGGUACCGCAUGAAUAAGGACCGGCUAAUUCCGUG